UACGGAGGGUGUAAGCGUUGUUCGGAAUUACUGGGCGUAAAGGGCUCGUAGGCGGCCAACUAAGUCAGACGUGAAAUCCCUCAGCUUAACUGGGGAACUGCGUCUGAUACUGGAUGGCUUGGAUCCGGGAGAGGGAUGCGGAAUUCCAGGUGUAGCGGUGAAAUGCGUAGAUAUCAUGAGGAAUACCAGAGGCGAAGGCGGCUACCUGGACAAUUGCUGACGCUCAGGCACGAAAGCGUGGGGAGCAAAAGGG
rnacentral:rRNA from 1 species